rnacentral:rRNA from 1 species
GCACCAGACUCCUACGGGAGGCAGCAGUGGGGAAUAUUGCACAAUGGGGGGAACCCUGAUGCAGCGACGCCGCGUGGGUGAAGGAGCCCCUCGGUGCGUAAACCCCUAUCGGCAGGGAAGAAAAGCGAACAGGUUCGCCUGGACGGUACCUGACUAAGAAGCCCCGGCUCACUACGUGCCAGCAGCCGCGGGAAUACGUAGGGGGCGAGCGUUAUCCGGAUUCACUGGGGGUAAAGGGAGCGUAGACGGCCAUGCAAGCCAGGGGUGAAAGCCCGGGGCCCAACCCCGGGACUGCCCUUGGAACUGCAUGGCUGGAGUGCGGGAGGGGCAGGCGGAAUUCCUGGUGUAGCGGUGAAAUGCGUAGAUAUCAGGAGGAACACCGGCGGCGAAGGCGGCCUGCUGGGCCGCGACUGACGUUGAGGCUCGAAAGCGUGGGGAGCGAACAGGAUUAGAUGCCCGCGUAAC